GACGAACCGUGCGAACGUUGUUCGGAAUCACUGGGCUUAAAGGGCGCGUAGGCGGGCUUAAAAGUCAGGGGUGAAAUCCCGCGGCUCAACCGUGGAAGCGCCUCUGAUACUGUAAGUCUCGAGGGAGGUAGGGGCGUGCGGAACUUCCGGUGGAGCGGUGAAAUGCGUAGAUAUCGGAAGGAACACCGGUGGCGAAAGCGGCGCGCUGGACCUCUUCUGACGCUGAGGCGCGAAAGCGUGGGGAGCGAACAGG
rnacentral:rRNA from 1 species